rnacentral:rRNA from 1 species
GACGAACGCUGGCGGCGUGCUUAACACAUGCAAGUCGAACGGAAAGGCCCUGCUUUUGUGGGGUGCUCGAGUGGCGAACGGGUGAGUAACACGUGAGUAACCUGCCCUUGACUUUGGGAUAACUUCAGGAAACUGGGGCUAAUACCGGAUAGGAGCUCCUGCUGCAUGGUGGGGGUUGGAAAUUUUCGGCGGUUGGGGAUGGACUCGCGGCUUAUCAGCUUGUUGGUGGGGUAGUGGCUUACCAAGGCUUUGACGGGUAGCCGGCCUGAGAGGGUGACCGGCCACAUUGGGACUGAGAGACGGCCCAGACUGCUAAGGGAGGCAGCAGUGGGGAAUAUUGAACAAUGGGCGGAAGCCUGAUGCAGCAACGCCGCGUGCGGGAUGACGGCCUGCGGGUUGUAAACCGCUUUCGCCUGUGACGAAGCGGGAGUGACGGUAAUGGGUAAAGAAGCACCGGCUAACUACGUG